rnacentral:rRNA from 1 species
CUGCCAGUGAUAAACUGGAGGAAGGUGGGGAUGACGUCAAGUCAUCAUGGCCCUUACGACCAGGGCUACACACGUGCUACAAUGGCAUAUACAAAGAGAAGCGACCUCGCGAGAGCAAGCGGACCUCAUAAAGUAUGUCGUAGUCCGGAUUGGAGUCUGCAACUCGACUCCAUGAAGUCGGAAUCGCUAGUAAUCGUAGAUCAGAAUGCUACGGUGAAUACGUUCCCGGGCCUUGUACACACCGCCCGUCACACCAUGGGAGUGGGUUGCAAAA